AGCUUCCCCAGGGGCUCAGUGGUAAAGAAUCCUCCCACCAGCGCAGGAGUCAGGUUGGAUCCCCGCUCUGGGAAGAUCCCGCGUGCCACGGGGGCACUAAACCCGCAUGGCACAACAAUUGGCUGUGCUCUAGAGCCUGGGAACAGCAACUGAUGAAGCCUGUGAGCCCGAGGGCCCGUGCUCUGCAACGUGAGAAACUACGCAGGGCAACUAGAACCUGCUCGCUACAACUAGAGCGGCCCCUGCUUGCAUAACUAGAGGAGAGCCUGCGCAGCAACAAAGACCCAGGACAGCUGGAAAUAAAUAACAAAAUAAAUUUUACCAACAAAGAAAGACGCUUUCCUGAAUUUGAAUAAAUCUUCAGAUUUGCUGGAGGAGAAAGGAAGCUGGAAUCAGCUCUCGGUUGAGCAGGGCUUCCCAGGUGGCACAGUGGUAAAGAAUCUGCCUGCCGACCAAGAGCUGCAGGUUCAGUCUCCAGGUCUGGAAGAGCCUCUGGAGGAGGAAAUGACAACUCACCCCCAGUGUUCUUGCCUGGAAAAUUCUAUGGACAGAUGAGCCUUGUGCGUUACAGUCCAUGAGGCCGCAAACAGUCAGACAAAACUGAGCGACUGAGCACACACUGGGGUGAGCUACUUCACAAGGUGAUCAUCUGGGAACCUUCCCCUGGAUGCAAACGGCGCCAAAAGGAGCUGAGAAAUGAAAAGAGAGAGAAAUCAGGUCCUAGGACAUCACCGAGCCACCAAGGAUAAAAGCCUCUCCCACGUGUAGACUUGCCUGUUUCAUGAGCCAAUAAAUUUCCUUUAGUUUCAAAACUGGUUUGAGGACUUCCCUGGCAGUCCAGUGGUUAAGAAUCCGCCUGCCAGUGCAGAGGACAGGGGUUUGAUCCCUGGUCCAGAAAGAUUUCACGUGCCGCGGGGCAACUAAGCCAGUGUGCCACAACUACUGAAGCCCACAUGCCCUCGAGUCUGUGCUCUUCAACAAAAGGAGCCACUACAAGGAGAAGUUGUAUCUCAACUAGAUACAUCGCAACUAUAGAGUAUUGCAACCAUGCAUCGCAACUCGAGAGUAGCCCCUGC
ensembl:lncRNA